ACACUAAAAUCACAUAUCCUGCAUUGCAAGCUUCGUAAAUCCGAAACAUCAUCCAAGCACCCAAAAUCAGUAGGCAUAAAAGUUCGGUACAAGAUGGAUACGACUUAAAUAAAGGAGGUCCAUACCGUACAACUCAAGCCAAGAUAGCUAUAGUGGAACCGCAUAAACGUUCGGUACAAGAUGGAUACGACUUAAAUAAACGAGGUCCAUAUCGUACAACUCAAGCCAAGAUAGCUAUAGUGGAACCAUACAACUCAAGCCAAGAUAGUUAUAGUGGAACACAAUACCGAUGAAACUUGACACAAACACAAAAUACCCAUGGAAAAUAGGAAAGUGGUAAGCAAUUUAUUCUGUAAGCACGCAGACAGAGAAAGAGGCAUGCCUUCACUUAGGUUUCCACGAGGACAAUGGAGGAGUCUCUGAAUUUAUCCACGUAGUCGACAUGUACAUAUGUCUAUCACCCUUAACCGCAUCACUGGAAGCAUAGGAUUCCAGUUCAGCCAUUUCUUCAGGAGUUAGCUUUACGGAUAAUGCACCAAUGUUCUGGUUUAAGUUCUCAAUCUUGGUGGUACCAGGUAUAGGACACACGUCGUUCCC